AUGAAAAACAAACAAAAAACCCCUAGAAGAGCACACCCUAACCUAAUUUCCCUGAUUCCAAAAUCAGCGCCUCCUCUCCAAAAAUAGACAGCCAUCGCCAUCCCCUAACCCCAAGAGAAGAAGCGAUCAAUGAAAAAUGGAUCCCCUUACUAUAAACGUCGUCGUCCCAUCCCCCUCUCUACCCUAGAAUAAUUGGCGCCCAAUUCCUUAAAAAUCCCAGCCUUAUAUGAGCCACAUUCCAACUUCCCUAAUUCUAUGCAACUCUCAAAUCAUUCUGAAGAACCAAAGAAUCAGUAGUAUUUCCCAUCGACGUCUACAAGGUGGACUCAAAUUAAAGACGAAUACUGAAAGUCUCGUUCCAGUACUUGAAAAGGAUACUACAACUGUGGGGACUUCUCCAUAUAGUUUGGCUAGAAUUUCGAGUUUGUUCAAGAGAUUUGAGUUUUCCGGCGAGUGCCGAGGUCGUCGAAGGUUGUAGUCUGAGGUUUCUGGUAAAGGAUUCCGGUGGAUAGCUUGUUCGCGGUACUGUCGCUUAGCAUUUUCAAACUAUCAAACCAUCAAAUUUCAGAUUUAGUUGAGGUCUAUUUCUCCCUUUCUUUUACUAUUUUGGCUUAAUUACAUGCUUCUAUUUUGUUGAACUUUUGAGUUAAUAUUCAUUUUUUCCGUUUGUAACGCCUUAGUAGUAUUUAUGUGUGUUUUUUGUUCUGUUGAUUAUUGUUUUGUGUUUUUUUCAUGUAACUUACAUUCGGGCGUUUUAAUGGCUGAAAUGAGUCUUUUGUUUUGUCCUUAUCAUAUUGCUUCAUUAAAUGUUCCAUGAUUUAGUUACCAUUCAAAUGACAAAAGAAUUAAUUUAACAUGUUUAAGUAGAUUGAGUAUAGUUUCGUUGUUUUGAAAAUGGGGGUUUUGGGCAUAUAGAAUGAGAAAUUAAAUUUAUCACGUUAAUUAUUUUAUCUUGUCUGCUUGAAAUCGAUAGGAGCAUGUUAAGGCCGACCACAUUUGGGUAGGCAAACUCUAGGAUUUUGUUUUAUUUAAUUUUGAGGCUAGAGGUCGUUCCCUUAGUUAAAUAUAUCCGGGGAAUGCCCCGAAGGAUUUGUAUAUAUAUUAUUUCGGGGAAUGCCUCAUAGUAUUCUGUAACUGGAGGCCGAAAGUGAACUCGUAGUACUUUUAUUUCUAUUUCAUUUUUAUUUUUAUCUUUCUUUUAUUAGGUGGGAACGAUCUUGAGCCUCUUAUGUUUUAAUUUUCUCGUUUUGUGUUUAUUAUCUCAAUUCAAAUAUCUUAAAAGCUAACUAGAUCGAGUACACAACCGUGACUUUUACGGUACUUGGGGAGUGCCUAACACCUUCUCCCCGAGUCAAAUGAACACCCUUACCCAAAUCUUUGGUGCGGACUUAGUUUUGGAAUCCAAAGUGUUUUAAAAGGAAAUAUCAUUUCUAAAAAAAUGGUGACCUGACAAACCGAAACCAAUGUCAGGUGGCGACUCUAAGUUAAUCCUUUUGAACACAAUUUUGUCACUUUUCAUAAUUGAAACCUUUUUGAGCUUUACUAAAAAAAUUUUAUAUUUUUAAGAGGGUUAAGUGAAGUGUAAAAAAGGGGCGUGCAGUGGAUCGACUCACGAAAUCAGCGCACUUCUUGCCAGUCAGGUUGCAUGACACUCCAGUCUCAAUCGUUUCAGAUUGAGGGACUCAGUUCACGGCCAACUUUUGGAAGAAAUUUCAGCAAGGUUUGGGUACGCAGGUAAAUCUUAGUACAAUUUUUCAUCCUCAGACCGACGGGCAAGCAGAGCGGACUAUUCAAACGCUUGAGGACAUGUUGUGUGCUUGUGUUCUUGAUUUUAAAGGUAGCUGGGAUGAUCAUUUGCCACUCAUAGAGUUUGCUUAUAACAAUAACUUCCAUGCUAGUAUGUGGAUGGCACCUUUUGAGGCGUUGUAUGGUAGGAGAUGUAGGUUUCCCAUUGGGUGGUUCGAGGUUGGAGAAGCUGAAUUGAUAGGGGCGGACCUUGUGCAUCAGGCUAUUGAGAAAGUCAAGAUUAUUAAGGAGAGGUUGAAAACUAAUCAGAGUCGCCAAAAGUCUUAUUCGGACAUUUGUCGCAGAGAUUUAGAGUUCAAGGAAGAUGAUUGGGUAUUUUUGAAGGUUUCCCCCAUGAAGGGUAUCAUGCAUUUUGGAAAGAAAGUAAAAUUGAGUCCGAGGUAUGUCGGACUGUAUAGAAUCAUUCAGAGGAUCGGUCAGGCGGCAUACAAGCUUGAGUUACCACCCGAGAUGUCAAUGCUACACCUUGUCUUCCAUGUCUCUAUGUUGAAGAAGGUAGUGGGAGAUCCGUCCACCAUUGUGCCGGUUGGAACUAUUGAGGUUAAUGAAGAACCGUCAUAUGAAGAAAUUCUAGUUGCCAUUCUCGACAGGAAAGUCCGGAAGUUGAGAAACAAAGAAAUUGCCUCCGUAAAAGUGUAAUGGCGAAACAAGCAAGUUAAAGAAGCCAUUUGGGAAGACGAGGAAGAAAUGAAAAGAAAGUACCCACAUUUGUUUGCCUAGCCAUGUAAUAGCUUCUAUGAAUUUGGUUCCUAUGAACUUUGUAUCACUUGGUUAGUGUAUGUAAAAUUGUUCCGUUUUGAUUAUAUAUUACCUAUGGGGCCGUGGUUGUUGUGGUUAUGAGUUAUAUCAUAUCAAUAUAUUGUGUACGUGCUAUUCGGAUAUGUUUCUAGGGCUCUCUAGCAGGUGGAUAGGCCUAGAUACAAAGGGAACUUUGGCAAAAAAAUUUGAAAUCUAGAGAGUUAGUCAAAUUUGGGGGUUGUUGGUACGUGGUGUGAAACUGAAGUUGCAUAAGGUGCUGAUAAGUGAUCCUUGUUCCUCAUUCGAGGACGAAUGAUCUCAAGUGGGGGAGGAUGUAAGGCCCCGUGAAAUUUUUACUCAAAAACCCGAAUCUCAUAGUGAUGAUCUGUGCAUUAAAAAGUUAAGAAAAAAUAUUUUUCAGAAGAGCGUGUUUCUGCGGCCCAUUAUACGACCGCAUAACAAUAAUGCGGGUCGCAUAUCUGCCGCAUAGUGAGUCAGAAUGUUGGAUAAUUUUGAGGUUAACUGUGCGACCAAUUAUGCGAUCACAUAAUCGAUAUGCGGGCCGCAUAGUCGUCGCAUAACCUCUUUGGGAUUUUUGCGAAGGGUCGUUUUACGGUGCAUUAUGCAACCACAGAACAGGUAUGUGGGGCGCAUAUUGGUCGCAUACCCGGGCAGUAUAUUCAAAUCUUGAGGGCUACUUUUGCGGUCCCUUUUUGCGUGCCGCAUGUCAGUUAUGCGAUCGCAUAUGUGACCACAGAUUGAGUCGGGCUCCUAUUUUCUAACUUUUAAAACCCGACCUCAUUCCGUUAAAAACACCCUAUUAGACCCCCUUGUGCUAUUUUCUACUACAUUUAGAGUGAGAAAAAGAGUUCUAGAGGGAGAAGGUGAUCCUCACCAAGUCUCUACUCAAUCCUUGCCCAAAUCUUCGAAGAUUAUCAAGAAAAGUUACUAAGCCUUCAUCCUAAGAGGUAAGAACUUGUGUCAUUAUCUAUGAUUUUGAAAUUCCUACUAGAAUAAGCAAUUAACAAGUGAGUUCAUGGGUAUGACAUGCAUGUGUGAUAAAAGGGUAUGGGGGGGACUAUGAGCUAAAAAUGUAACAAAUGGGGUGUAGGGUGAUAGAAUUCCUCAUAAAAAGGUCCUAAAAUCAUAAUGCACACUUAGUGCUUAAUAAUGUGCACAAAUGAGCUAGAAUCUUGAUUAUCCCUCUAACUCUUGGUUCAACUUGUAAUUCUCAUAAAAUAGAUCGAAGUUUCUAGGAGUUUCGGAAUCUUGAUUAUCCCUCUUGAUCGAGGUAUGUAUGGCUAAAACCCCCUGUUCUUAGAAAUUGAGCUCCCUAGGUGUCCGUGCAAAUGUUGUAAGUUCCAAAAUUUGAUUGGUGUAGAGAUUGCUAUUUCAAAUGUAUUGGUGUUGCAAGAAUAUAUGUGAAAGGUGUGUCUCAAUGUUUUCAAUAUGCUAUUUUUGGUACAUUAAGGAUGUGUGAAGAAUGUGAACCAUGUGCUAAAAAGCCUAGAUUUCAAGUCAAGUUUAAAUUGAGAUUGUUAUGCCAAACUAUGUGAAAUCCUCUCUAUGCUUACAACUUGAAUUGCUCUUGUAUGUGCCUAUUAUCUUAAAUUGCAAGGUUAAUGUUGAAAGUGGAAAUGAUGUGAAAUGUGGGGGAAAAGAGUUUGAGUUAUGAAAUGUGGCCUAGUGCCAAGUAUGAUGUGAUAAUUGUGUCCCUAAGUGCCGAUGAACUGAUAUAUGUGAAAUAAAGAUUGAAAUGAGAUGAUUGAUGAAAAAGGAAAAACGACUUGGUAAGACGGCCUAGCCGAUCGGGCCGUGAUCGGAUGUCAUACCGCACACAUGGUGGUAUUGUACUGAUAUUGAAACCGGAAAGUGAGAAUGAAAUUAUGAUUAAGGUACAUGUAUCAAAUGAGGCAACCUAGCUGAUCGGGUCGUGAUCGGACUCCGUGCAAGAAAGAGAUGGUAUUGUGAAUGAUGAUGCAACAGUAUGAAAUGUCCCACCCUAAAGCUAUGAAAAUUAUGUGAAAGUUAUGUGAUCCCUUUUAUUUGAUGAUAUGGUGAUUGUUUAAAGCUUUUGUUGAUCCCUGUGAUUUCUUUAUUCUUGUGUGGAUUUUCUUUCUAAUGAGAUGGUGUUUAGUUAUACAUACUUGUACUAUUCCAUGAUACUAACGUCUCUUUUGCCGGGGGCGCUACAUCUUUGGAUGGAUAUAGGUGGUUACUUUGCAGAUAGCGCUGAUCGCAGAUAGUGGCCCUCUCUUUCUCUCCUCACAACGGUCUUGGUGAGCCCCUAUUUCUCCCAGGGGUUUUGCGGUUCUUCUUUUGUAUAAAUUACCAUAUUUUGAGGUAUAGCCGGGGCAUUAUUGCCAGCAUUGACAUAUUGGUCUUUUGUAUCCUUAAAGGCUCUGUAGAUGUUUGUGUAGGUUAUGCACGGACAUUGGAUGGGUCACUAGACUAUGUUGUAAUUCUAAACUCUUGUUUUCUAUAAACUAUAAC
rnacentral:lncRNA from 1 species